AUUUAAAUAGCUUAAUUUCAAGAGCGCAACACUGAAGAUGUUGAGGUGGUAAUUUUACUUUUAAAUA
rnacentral:tRNA from 1 species